GAUGAACGCUGGCUACAGGCUUAACACAUGCAAGUCGAGGGGAAACGACGGGGAAGCUUGCUUCCCCGGGCGUCGACCGGCGCACGGGUGAGUAACGCGUAUCCAACCUGCCUCUGACUGAGGGAUAACCCGUCGAAAGUCGGCCUAAUACCUCAUGGCAUCGUCUGCGGGCAUCCAACGACGAUUAAAGAUUUCAUCGGUCAGGGAUGGGGAUGCGUCUGAUUAGCUUGGUGGCGGGGUAACGGCCCACCAAGGCUACGAACAGUAGGGGUUCUGAGAGGCAGGUCCCCAACAAUGGAACUGAGACACGGUCCAAACUCCUACGGGACGCAGCAGUGAGGAAUAUUGGUCAAUGGGCGGGAGCCUGAACCAGCCAAGUAGCGUGCAGGAUGACGGCCCUAGGGGUUGUAAACUGCUUUUAGGCGGGGAUAAAGUGAGGGACGUGUCCUUCAUUGCAGGUACCGAAUGAAUAAGGACCGGCUAAUUCCGUG
rnacentral:rRNA from 1 species